GAAAAAGAGGGGGGAGGGGCGGGGGUAAAACGAGGGAGGGAAGUGUUAGCCGUGGUAGGUGGGGGGAAAGCGCACGCAGGCGGCUGCGUAAGUCGGACGGGAAAGCUCCUGGCUCAACUGGGAGAGGUCGUUCGAAACUGGGCGGCUUGAGGGUGGAAGAGGAGAGCGGAAUUCCCGGUGGAGUGGUGGAAUGCGUAGAUAUCGGGAGGAACACCAGUGGCGAAAGCGGCUCUCUGGUCCACACCUGACGCUCAGGUGCGAAAGCGUGGGUAGCGAACGGGAUUAGAUACCCUGGUAGUC
rnacentral:rRNA from 1 species